UAAUACAUCGGAACGUGUCUUCUAGUGGGGGAUAACUGCCCGAAAGGGCAGCUAAUACCGCAUGAGACCUGAGAGUGAAAGCGGGGGAUCGCAAGACCUCGCGCUGGAAGAGCGGCCGAUGUCCGAUUAGCUAGUUGGUGAGGUAAAGGCUCACCAAGGCGACGAUCGGUAGCUGGUCUGAGAGGACGACCAGCCACACUGGGACUGAGACACGGCCCAG
rnacentral:rRNA from 1 species